CUCAAAGUUUCAUCUUUGCCCAUAGCCUUUCUUGGUGGAUGAAGAAGUGAACAUGAGCCAGCAGAGUGUCCAUGCAGCAUGGAUAGCAAAGGAUAUCCUGGGAGCCGUCAGAAGACGGGUGGCAGCAGGCGCACAGUGUUGAUUGUCUCUGGGCACCACGGGGCUCUUCUGCCUCUCUGCACGGCCCUGGCUUUUUCCCUGGUUGGGACAAGACCGCUUCAGCCUCCUCCUGUGCUGCUCCCCUCCCUCCAGCCUGCUGGACAGCUGUGAAAUCCUCUCUCCCAGCACUUCUUUUGCACACUUUCGGGAUGUAAUUAAGCAAAAUGGUCUUGGAUGCCCAGACCAUGGGGAUGAGCCUUGAUGGAAAAACUAAUGUCUCCCUCUCGCCUCCAUGUGUGCCUUUCAACUCCCUGCCUGUAUCUGUUCCCGAAUCCACCCUGGGUUCUACCUUACACACCAUACCUGCCCCAGUGCUGUCUGUUUGUUCUCCCUGCCACUGACUGCAUCCCCAAGGAGGAUGCCCCAAGCUGGAGGAGCUGCUCACUGAGCUGACACAGCCCUCAUAAGCCACGGGGGGCCAUGUAAUGCCCAGAUGUGUGUAUGGGCUGUGUUUGUGGUGCUGCAGAUGCAGAGAUGGCACAGCAUUCCACCUGGGUCCCCACUCCCGCAGACCUGGGCUUGUGGCCAUGGCCCGGCACAGCCCUGUCCAUGCGCAGGGCUCGCUGUGGGUUGGGUUUCCCUGUUUGCCCAAGGCCAGCUCUGGGGCUCUGGGGUUCUCACGCCUGCUCUGUGCUGCAGAUGGUGCUGGGUCCCCAUUCCAGCCCCUUGCCAAACCGCAUGGCACCCCUACAGCACGAGCACAGCCGGCUGUCCAGCAGCACACAGUGCUCAGAGCCAGCAGCAGGCCCCUUGGCGGAGCAGAGGGUGCCCGUCUCAGGAGCACAGCAGAUGAGCAGAACCUCCUCCAGCAGCAUCUCUGCCCCGUGGCAGAGGGACGCGGCGCACAUUCCCGGCCUGGCCAUGAAAUCGCCCUCCAAGAGGCAAGCAGUGCUGCUCCCCCCAGACGUCUGCUGUGGGCUGCCGGGGAAGGAGCUGGGAAAGCAAACACUGCUCAUGGAGGUGGGAAAAGACCACGGAGAUCAUCCGACCCAACCUUCUUGUUUCCAUUUCAUGUCAUUGACAACUGCAAAAACAACAUAACCAGGUGCCUCCUGCAAUCCCAUCUCCCCUCCAAAAAAAUACGUGCAUAUAUGAUUUCUUAUCUAAAGGAAAGAAAUUUUAAUAUAUAACAGUGUCUUUACUAUACAGAAACAAUGUAAUUUGAACAUCUAUACCUAAGUAAGUUACUAUAUAUUCUACCUUAAAUACUAUAAGUAAUAAUGUUAAAAAAAUUAAUAAUGAAAAGCAUGAAGGAGCUUUUGGGGCACGGCAAUUCUUAUUACUUAUAUAAAGGAAAGAGAUUUAAAUAUAUAACAGUGUCUUUUCCUAACAUAAACAAUUGCAUUUGAACUCCUAUACCUAAAAAAGUAACUAUAUCUUGUACAAACAACACAAUAAAGAAAUUAAAUGAAAACAUUAAUAAUGAACAGCAUAAAGGAGCUGUUGGGGCACGGGUGGGUGUUGAAGGGAAGCUCCUCAUGUGGCCGGCGAGGAGCUGCUCUGCAUGGUGGACUAUGAGAGCUUCACGACCUUCUUUGGCACAGUGACCACAUCACAGGUACUUGCAGCGUCAAAUGGGUCAUCCAUUCUGAGGAAGGACCUCUUUCUGCUCCGCUGCACUUCCAGGUGUUUGGUUUUGCUCUUUCGUUUCCCUGAUGGUUUUUCGCUCUCAGGACUUUUCUGCAGAGGAGGGUCAGGGUGGAAGAUCUCCUCUUUGCCUGUGCUUGGCCCAUCUGUCUUGCAGAUUCCUGCAGUCUUCUGCUGUUCAGCAGCCAAACCUGGGGCAGUAGCGCAGCUGGGCUGAGCCUGCUUGUUGCCGUGUGCACUGGCAGAUGGAAGGCCUUCUGGGGGCAGAGACACGGGGAAGACGGGAAAGGCUUUGCAGCUCUUCUUUGCCUUGGCUCCAAAUUCCUCCUGCGGUUCUUCAGCAGAGUCCUCAUCCUGCCUGCCACGGCUGUGCUCUCUCCCAGCACAGUGCUUGCGCUUCCUGGGCUGAACUGGACAUGGAUGUGGACUGACAGGGUCUGCUGGCCCAUCUGCUGGUCUUUCUUUGGAAGCUGUUGGUGGCUCCAAGAUGGGCAUCACAGCACUUUGCAUCGCCCACUGCUCCUGGCUGAGCUGGCUCGGGUCCGCAUACAGCUCAGGGCUCCCGCGUUGGUGUGGGACACACACAGAACCAACGGAGGUCACGGUUUGGCUCACCGGAUUAGAUGGCUUUGGUUUGUUCAGGUUAUGGCUGGCACAUCCAGUGGUUGUUGCUCCGAGGCUCAGCUGCAUGAAGCGUCUGCACAGCUCACAGAUGUCGUCCUGCGCCGUGCCCAAGGUCGGAGCGGUGCCAUCAGUGCCAUGAGCAGACUCUUGCAGCUGGAAGGCUGGCACAGGCUGGGGGAUGGCUCUCUGUGCCCUUGGCUGGGCUGAGAAGUGUUCUCCCCUCCAGGCAAACAUCGCCCAACCGACGGCUUUCCUGAAAGCCUCUGUUCCCAGAUGCCGCCCUUUCCUUGUGCUCUGCAGGCUGUCUGCCACUCUCAGCAGCAGCAAAGCCGGCUGUUGGUGAGCUCUGUCCCCUGGCAGAGCCUGGCAAGAGCAGGAGCACUGCGCAGAGGCGUUUGUUGCUCUUGGUGGGCUCGUUGCCACGGCCGGAACCCUGGAGUGACUUCAUAACAGUGUCACCAGUGGCAACCUGGGGCAUCUUUGCACCCAUCCCCAACUGCCCUAACUGCUCCUGUCUUUUGCAGCCGGAGCAAGAUGCAACUGUAACUCUGGGCUGACAUCUCCUAGCCCACCUCUGUCUAACAGCAGGCUGAUGAUUUCCUUGGUAAAGCCCCUCCACGUUUAAUUUCAGUUACUCUCACCUCAUCCCAACUGUAACUGCCAGGUGAAGACCCAGCUUCCAGUCCAUCCCCUCAACCACAACUGCCUUUCCAUGUCUCAGUACCAUAUUCCCAUUGAUAGUACAAGAAUCAGUACAGCUGUGUUGCAGAACCCACAGGUGGUGGAUCGGCCACAAGGAGCUUGUGGGAGAUGAAUACUUCUGGCACUGUGCUCUGACAUGGAUGUGUCCUGCAUGUACGUAGAGAGGGAACGCUCCAACACCUCUUUUUGCUUGCACGCUCACUGUCUCCUUAAAAGAACAACAACAGCAACAACAAAGUGGAGUCUGGCCUACAGACUUAAUCAGAGGUCUCAGACAACAUUAAGGAUUACCACCGUGUGUUCCAUUCUGCCAUCAAUUCCUGAUGAUCUGCAAGUCCUUGGAGGCUUCUUCAUGCUGUCCUGAGAUCGCUCAGAGUGUGUGCCCAGCAAAAGGACGGUCCGUUGACGUUUCCUUCAGUGAAAUAUCAGCUCAGUCCGUGCUGUGAAUACCACUGCAGAAACAGUGUAUGCGUUGAAUAGCUGAGAGUUUUGAUGGUCCGGGUGAGGAGCAGGGUUCAUCACCUUGGAUCAGCUGAAUCAGCUCCUGCAGUAGACUCUUCUGAUCACCCUGAUCUCCAUCAGGGGUUGCUGAUAGCACCACGGGUGCAUCCCAGUUAAUCAGUAGAGACAGUUCCUCCAGCACACCAUCCUGCUGCUUCUCCAUUUUAGCCAGUCUUUCUAGAUAUCUAGAUAUCUAAACAUUCUUGGUGGAUAAAAAACUGAUCAUGAGCCCACAGUGUGCCCUUGCGGCCCAGAAAGCAAAUGGUAUGAUUGGCUCCAUCAGAAGAGGGGUGGCAGCAGGCACAGGGUGUUGAUUGUCUCUCUCUACUCUGCCCUCGUGGAGCCCCAUCUGCAUUACUGCGUCCAGGUCAUGAAGCCCCUCAAUAAAGAAAGAGCUGUUGGAGAGGGUCCAGAGGAGGGCCACAAAGAUGAUCGGAAGGCUGCAGCAACUCCCCUUUGAGGACAGGCUGAGGGAGCUGGGCUUGUUCAGCCUGGAGAAGGGAAGGCUGAAGGGUGACCUCAUUGCAUCCUUCCCAUACCUAAAGGGAGACUACAAACAGGGGGGGAGUCAACUCUUUUCAAGGGUAGGUGAUGGCAGGAUAAGGGGAAACUGUUUUAAGUUGUGAGGGAGGGAAGAUUUAAGUUGGAUACGGGGGAAAUUCUUUACAGAGAGAUCGAUGCGGUGCUGGAACAGCUGCCCAGAGAGGCUGUGGAUGCCCCAUCCAUCCCUGGAGGUGUUCAAGGCCAGGUUGGAUGGGGCGCCGGGCAGCCUGGUCUAGUCUUAGAUAUGGAGGUUGGUGUCCCUGCAUCCAGCAGGGUGGUUGGAGCUUGAGGUCCCUUCCAACACAGGCCAUUGUUGAAGUCUAUGAGUUGUUCCUGC
rnacentral:lncRNA from 7 species